ensembl:misc_RNA
AUGACAACAGUAGAAAGUGAAGCCCUCUGUUUACCUGCAGAAGUGGUACAGAAGAGCAUUGGCAAUGCAAGUUUCUUCCCAUAACUCCAUCUGUGUUCUGCAGCUGUAACCUUGAGGGAUCACCUUUAGGAAGAAGAAGAUGACUUGGUCUCCUUACUCUUUCUAUCCUUAGCCUCU